rnacentral:rRNA from 1 species
GACGUAGGGCGCAAGCGUUGUCCGGAUUUAUUGGGCGUAAAGAGCUCGUAGGCGGUUGGGCAAGUCACGUGUGAAAUCUCCACGCUCAACGUGGAGGCGCCACGUGAGACUGCCCUGACUCGAGUCCGGUAGGGGAGCGUGGAAUUCCCGGUGUAGCGGUGAAAUGCGCAGAGAUCGGGAGGAACACCCGUAGCGAAGGCGGCGCUCUGGGCCGGUACUGACGCUGAGGAGCGAAAGCGUGGGGAGCAAACAGG